rnacentral:rRNA from 1 species
UGCGCAGGUGGGCUUGUAAGUCAGUGAUGAAAUACUGCCGCUUAACGGUAGAACUGCCAUUGAUACUGCGAGUCUUGAGUAUGGUUGAGGUAGGCGGAAUGUGUUGUGUAGCGGUGAAAUGCAUAGAUAUGGCACAGAACGCCGAUUGCGAAGGCAGCUUACUAAGCCAUUACUGACGCUGAGGCACGAAAGCGUGGGGAGCGAACAGGAUUAGAUACCCUGGUAGUCC